rnacentral:rRNA from 1 species
AGAACGAACGCUGGCGGCAUGCCUAACACAUGCAAGUCGAACGAGACCUUCGGGUCUAGUGGCGCACGGGUGCGUAACGCGUGGGAACCUGCCCUUAGGUUCGGAAUAACUCAGAGAAAUUUGAGCUAAUACCGGAUAAUGUCUUCGGACCAAAGAUUUAUCGCCUAUGGAUGGGCCCGCGUAGGAUUAGCUAGUUGGUGGGGUAAAGCCUACCAAGGCGACGAUCCUUAGCUGGUCUGAGAGGAUGAUCAGCCACACUGGGACUGAGACACGGCCCAGACUCCUACGGGAGGCAGCAGUGGGGAAUAUUGGACAAUGGGCGAAAGCCUGAUCCAGCAAUGCCGCGUGAGUGAUGAAGGCCUUAGGGUUGUAAAGCUCUUUUACCCGGGAUGAUAAUGACAGUACCGGAGAAUAAGCUCCGGCUAACUCCGCGCCAGCAGCCGC